rnacentral:rRNA from 1 species
GAUGAACGCUUUCUUCUUUCCUAAUACAUGCAAGUCGAGCGAACGGACGAGAAGCUUGCUUCUCUGAUGUUAGCGGCGGACGGGUGAGUAACACGUGGAUAACCUACCUAUAAGACUGGGAUAACUUCGGGAAACCGGAACUAAUACCGGAUAAUAUUUUGAACCGCAUGGUUCAAAAGUGAAAGACGGUCUUGCUGUCACUUAUAGAUGGAUCCGCGCUGCAUUAGCUAGUUGGUAAGGUAACGGCUUACCAAGGCAACGAUGCAUAGCCGACCUGAGAGGGUGAUCGGCCACACUGGAACUGAGACACGGUCCAGACUCCUACGGGAGGCAGCAGUAGGGAAUCUUCCGCAAUGGGCGAAAGCCUGACGGAGCAACGCCGCGUGAGUGAUGAAGGUCUUCGGAUCGUAAAACUCUGUUAUUAGGGAAGAACAUAUGUGUAAGUAACUGUGCACAUCUUGACGGUACCUAAUCAGAAAGCCACGGCUAACUACGUG